rnacentral:rRNA from 1 species
AGGGAAUCUUCCGCAAUGGACGAAAGUCUGACGGAGCAACGCCACGUGAGUGAAGAAGGCCUUCGGGUCGUAAAGCUCUGUUGCCGGGGAAGAACAAGUGCCGUUCGAACAGGGCGGUGCCUUGACGGUACCCGGCUAGAAAGCCACGGCUAACUACGUGCCAGCAGCCGCGGUAAUACGUAGGUGGCAAGCGUUGUCCGGAAUUAUUGGGCGUAAAGCGCGCGCAGGCGGCUUCUUAAGUCUGAGGUGAAAUCUUGCGGCUCAACCGCAAGCGGUCAUUGGAAACUGGGAGGCUUGAGUGCAGAAGAGGAGAGUGGAAUUCCACGUGUAGCGGUGAAAUGCGUAGAGAUGUGGAGGAACACCAGUGGCGAAGGCGGCUCUCUGGUCUGUAACUGACGCUGAGGCGCGAAAGCGUGGGGAGCAAAC